rnacentral:rRNA from 1 species
GACGAACGCUGGCGGCGUGCUUAACACAUGCAAGUCGAGCGGUAAGGCCCUUUCGGGGGUACACGAGCGGCGAACGGGUGAGUAACACGUGGGUGACCUGCCCUCAGCUCUGGGAUAAGCCUGGGAAACCGGGUCUAAUACCGGAUAUGACUCCAUGACGCAUGUUGUGGGGUGGAAAGCCUUGUGCGGCUGAGGAUGGGCCCGCGGCCUAUCAGCUUGUUGGUGGGGUGANGGCCUACCAAGGCGACGACGGGUAGCCGGCCUGAGAGGGCGACCGGCCACACUGGGACUGAGACACGGUCCAGACUCCUACGGGAGGCAGCAGUGAGGAAUCUUGCGCAAUGGGGGAAACCCUGACGCAGCGACGCCGCGUGGAGGACGAAGGCCUUC